GUGUCAGCAGCCGCGGUAAUACGGAGGGUGCAAGCGUUAUCCGGAUUCACUGGGUUUAAAGGGAGCGUAGGUGGGCUGGUAAGUCAGUGGUGAAAUCUCUGGGCUUAACCCGGAAACUGCCGUUGAUACUCUCUGUCUUGAAUAUGGUGGGGGUGAGCGGAAUAUGUCAUGUAGCGGUGAAAUGCUUAGAUAUGACAUAGAACACCAAUUGCGAAGGCAGCUCGUUACACGAAUAUUGACUCUGAGGCACGAAAGCGUGGGGAUCAAACAGGAUUAGAAACCCGUGUAGUCC
rnacentral:rRNA from 1 species